AGGGUCUGCACCUGGAGACUCCCACCUAAGAUGGGGGUUUAGAUGAGACCACUCUGGGAGGACACGCAGCCGAGUGUGGAGGCCCCGAGGAAGAUCAGCUCUGAAGACACAGGCAGGCAAAGGGCAGACCUCGAAGGAGAUGGAGGAGGAAUGACAGAGGGCAAGAAGAAUCAGGUUUACUGUCUGCCAGGCUGCCAAACCCCAACCCUCGCCACAUCCGCAGCCACCACGUAAAGUGACUGUUAGAACUUCAAACGAAGGAUCUGACCCCCGGAAAUGGCCUCAUGCUAGUUUUUUCCUAAACAGUCACCAGGAAAAUGACGGAAGGCAAAUCGAAACGCAUGCCCUGAAAGACUUAGAACAUAACCAUCACAUCUGGGGGACAAGAAGCCCACCCCAACUUAAUUUAAAAAGGAAACACAGCAGAUGUCAUCAGUUGGCAGGGAGGUGUCUUGAAGGAAAGAAGGAGGGGAAUGAGAGGGCUGUG
ensembl:lncRNA novel transcript